UGUUGCCUGUUGCUACGCGUGUUACCUCAGUACCUAGGCUGGGGUUUUUCGAAAGUCAGGUACCUGAAGUAGCGCGCGCAGCGGUGGUGCA
rnacentral:pre_miRNA from 15 species